ACAUGUGCAGUUACCAAUUUGUGUGAGCAUCAGAUUUGGUCUGAUCUUAGAAGCUAAACAUGUCAUUUGGGCUACUACAGUACUUGGAAAGGAGAUCACCAGGGAAUAUCAGGUGGAACAUAUU
rnacentral:rRNA from 11 species